rnacentral:lncRNA from 1 species
AUGGGGUGGUGGGUCACAAGGUCCAUAGUCUUGGAAAUCAUGGCAGUGGGGAUGGUGUCCAUGGGGAUGGUGUCCAUGGGAAUGAUGCUUAUGGGGAUGGAGGUCACUGGAAUUAUUAUUAUGAGAAUGUCUUUGGGCCCCAUUUGUGCCAAAAGUGGCAUGUUGACAACUUGAGCAGGACAUGGGCAAUAGUGGAGGAGGGCCUUGUGGAAGUGGGGGUCCAUGUUCGUGUGGCUUGUGGGGAUGAUGAUGAUCUCUAGAUCCAUGGGGCUUGAAUGGAGGCUUGG